rnacentral:rRNA from 1 species
GUAUAUUGCAAUUUUCNACAGUCGCUGUUGGGUUGUACUGGUCUGAACUCCCACUUCAGGCAUGUGCACGCUCCGGUGAUUCUCCAAAAUUCUUACACCCUUAUGUGCACCUCACACACGAAAACCAGGNCUGGGAAUGUGUUUUCUCUCUCUCCAAUGUGGGGCGGGAAAGCGCGNGCGAAGGUCUGGCUUUUUGUGUUUUUAUAGCUACACACUUUUAGUACAUGAAUGUUCUUAUGUCGACUGUAGUUGCUUCAUUGCAACGCAGACACANAAAAUAUUAUNGAAUACUACAACNCAGCCANACNGGCAUGAUCNUUGAAAUGCGAUNAGUAAUGUGAAUUGCAGAAUCCAGUGAAUCAUCGAAUCUUUGAACGCACCUUGCGCUCCUUGGUAUUCCGAGGAGCAUGCCUGUUUGAGUGUCAUGGUAUUCUCANUCUCACCCCCUUUUCCUGUCGUGGUCUCAAUCUUUUUGAGGCAUGCGNGUGAGGUCUUUUGGGGNNGAGNAGGAANAUGGNUUCCCCUAGUAACUGCGAGUGAAGCGGGAAAAGCUCAAAUUUAAAAUCUGGCGGCACCUUGCUGUCCGAGUUGUAGUCUGGAGAAGCGUUUUCUGUGCUGGACCGUGUACAAGUCUCUUGGAAUAGAGCGUCAUAGAGGGUGAGAAUCCCGUCUUUGACACGGACUACCAGUGCUUUGUGAUGCGCUCUCAAAGAGUCGAGUUGUUUGGGAAUGCAGCUCAAAAUGGGUGGUAAAUUCCAUCUAAAGCUAAAUAUUGGCGAGAGACCGAUAGCGAACAAGUACCGUGAGGGAAAGAUGAAAAGCACUUUGGAAAGAGAGUUAAACAGUACGUGAAAUUGCUGAAAGGGAAACGCUUGAAGUCAGUCACGUUGGUCAGAACUCAGCCUGGCUCUUUUGCUUGGUGCACUUUCUGAUCAACGGGCCAGCAUCAAUUUUGAUCAUUGGAGAAAUUCUCUGGGAAUGUGGCUCUCUCGAGAGUGUUAUAGCCUGGGGUUGUAUACAGUGAUUGGGAUUGAGGAACUCAGCACGCCUUCAUGGUCGGGGUUCGCCCACGCUCGUGCUUAGGAUGCUGGCGUAAUGGCUUUAAACGACCCGUCUUGAAACACGGACCAAGGAGUCUAACAUGCCUGCGAGUGUUUGGGUGGAAAACCCGAGCGCGCAAUGAAAGUGAAAGUUGGGAUCUCUGUCGUGGAGAGCACCGACGCCCAUACCAGACCUUUUGUGACGGCUAUGCGGUUGAGCAUGUAUGUUGGGACCCGAAAGAUGGUGAACUAUGCCUGAAUAGGGUGAAGCCAGAGGAAACUCUGGUGGAGGCUCGUAGCGAUUCUGACGUGCAAAUCGAUCGUCAAAUUUGGGUAUAGGGGCGAAAGACUAAUCGAACCAUCUAGUAGCUGGUUCCUGCCGAAGUUUCCCUCAGGAUAGCAGAAACUCAUUUCAGAUUUAUGUGGUAAAGCGAAUGAUUAGAGGCCUUGGGGUUGAUAUACAACCUUAACCUAUUCUCAAACUUUAAAUAUGUAAGAACGAGCCGUCACUUGAUUGGACCGCUCGGCGAUUGAGAGUUUCUAGUGGGCCAUUUUUGGUAAGCAGAACUGGGCGAG